rnacentral:rRNA from 1 species
GAUGAACGCUAGCGGCAGGCUUAACACAUGCAAGUCGAACGGUAACAGGAUUGAUUUAUCAAUUGCUGACGAGUGGCGCACGGGUGCGUAACACGUGUGCAACCUACCCUUUACAGGAGAAUAGCCCCGAGAAAUCGGGAUUAAUACUUCAUGGUAUCAUAAGAUCGCAUGGUCUAAUGAUUAAAGUUUCGGCGGUAAAGGAUGGGCAUGCGGUCUAUUAGUUUGUUGGUAAGGUAACAGCUUACCAAGACUUCGAUAGAUAGGGGGUCUGAGAGGAUGAUCCCCCACACUGGUACUGAGACACGGACCAG